rnacentral:rRNA from 1 species
GAUGAACGCUGGCGGCGUGCCUAAUACAUGCAAGUCGAGCGAACAGAUGAGGAUCUUGCUCCGCUGACGUGAGCGGCGGGCAGGUGAGUAACACUGGGAGAACCUACCUAUAAGACUGGGAUAACUUCUAGAAACCAGAGCGAAGACCGGAUGAUAUAUUGAACCCCAGGGGUCAAUAGUGAAAGACGAUUUUGCUGUCACGGAUAGAGGUAUCCGCGCCGCUGUACAGAAUUGGGAAGGUAACGACUUACCAAGGCAACGAUGCGUAGCCGACCUGAGGGAUGGUUCGUACGCACUGGAACUGGGACACGGUCCAGACUCCUACGGGAGGCAGCAGUAGGGAAUUUCCCGCAACGGGAGAAAGCAAUACGGAGCAACGCCGCGUGAGUUAUGAGGGCCUUGGGAUCGUAAAACUCUGUUACUAGGGAAGAACAACUGCGUAAGUAACUAUGCACGCAUUGACGGUACCUAAUCAGAAAGCAACGGCUAACUACGUG